rnacentral:rRNA from 1 species
GAUGAACGCUGGCGGCGUGCCUAAUACAUGCAAGUCGAGCGAACGGACGAGAAGCUUGCUUCUCUGAUGUUAGCGGCGGACGGGUGAGUAACACGUGGAUAACCUACCUAUAAGGCUGGGAUAACUUCGGGAAACCGGAGCUAAUACCGGAUAAUAUUUUGAACCGCAUGGUUCAAAAGUGAAAGACGGUCUUGCUGUCACUUAUAGAUGGAUCCGCGCUUCAUUAGCUAGUUGGUAAGGUAACGGCUUACCAAGGCAACGAUGCAUAGCCGACCUGAGAGGGUGAUCGGCCACACUGGAACUGAGACACGGUCCAGACUCCUACGGGAGGCAGCAGUAGGGAAUCUUCCGCAAUGGGCGAAAGCCUGACGGAGCAACGCCGCGUGAGUGAUGAAGGUCUUCGGAUCGUAAAACUCUGUUAUUAGGGAAGAACAUAUGUGUAAGUAACUGUGCACAUCUUGACGGUACCUAAUCAGAAAGCCACGGCUAACUACGUG